UGUACAUAAAAUAAAAACUGUCACCCUGGGCAACGUGUGGCACCCGAGCAUUUAUUCCGUCUCGCACAUCCUGGCACUUAGAAUUAUUUCCUUCAUGCCUGAUAACCAAAUUACAAUAUGGCAGGUCUCCCCGGAGCCACGGGGAUCGUUAGUGCUCGCUCACAACAUACUUUCAACUGAUGUGGCGUUUUCAUGUACAGCUGCCAAUCAAAAGUCUACGGAAAGGAAAGAUGCAAAUGAGGGCGGGCCCGGCAGUGUUGCAAUUACGGUUAUGUGUGUGCGCGCGUGCUGACGAGCGGACGCGUAAUCCCUCGCCUGUGCUGAAGACAGACAGCUGCAGUCUGAACGGCAUCUAACUCUACUCUAAAUGUGGGGUCUCUGAGUGGGCUGAAAGCUGGAAGUCGGCAUUUAGGAGCGUGAGAAGCAAAAAGAGCGCAAUUUUGUCGAGAUGGGUUCCUUUAAGACCAUUGCCAUUUCAACCAUCUCUGCAUAAUAAAGGUAAAGCAAAUUCACUGGUUUCCCGUCGCUCACCGAGAGAGAUUAAAUGACCGGGAAAAUAUACCAUUACGGCGGCGGAUGGCGCUGAAUAAAUCUGUGCACCGGGGGUUAAUAGCACAGUAAAUCACCACAAGCAUUUUUCAGGUGAACAUAAAAAUCUGCUUUGAGUGAAGACAACAUGAUGGCCGUGAACACCUCUCGCCUUCCUUCACGACGAAAUGAGAGGCACGGAAAGACAUAAGAGAGUGAGAUAAUGAAAAAAAAGUGAGAAGCCGAGCAAAUGGUCCAGCAAUCUUGAUGACUUACAUUCAAGAUCAGUCAAACUUUUAAAAACUUCAUUAAAGCAAAAUGAAAGUGCUCCAUUGCACUCUGAAAUGUAAUAGAAGAUGCUCUGGAAUGAGAACAGCCUGCCAAUUACGGCUUUCACAGACUUUUUUCAGGGUUUCAAUGACUGUCUGAGUUUCCACCGAAGGAAACUCGAGCGUGUUUGUUGGUUCCUCACCCAGACAUGAUGUUCAUAACGCUGCUCGAUCACCACCGGUUAAUCUUAUUCACGCUAUCGUCUAGUUGGAGCAAGAGCUGGAAAUAUUAACCCUGAGAAGCGACUCUUUAUUUAUAAUAUAUAAUUCUGUGUUUUGUGUUGGUUAAAGUGUGUUGGAUGUUUCUCAUCUGUUUUAUUGAUAUCACAUUGUGGUGGUUUGUGCCAAGCAGCGGUGUUGUCUUUUACAGGCGGUAAUGGAUGACAAAUUAUUCUAGAGAACUGCACUUGUAAAAGAAACUGUUAUUUUAUGAACAUCUGUUUCAAACACUACUGAGUUGAACACUAGCUCAUUCCUACGUGUAAUGUAUAGAUCACUUGGCAAGAUGUAAACACCGAUCCAGCAGCACUUUGUAAUUUAUUUUGAUAUUCUUACAUUAUUUAAUUAUUUAACAAUUUGAUUCAGCUAAAAAUGUUCUAUUGUUUGUGUUCAAGUGUUUGUGCAGUGUUAAAAAACUUAAACAGGAAGUUGGGUCAGCGUUGUACCAGCAUUGUUUACGUCUUCCGAACGAUGCUGUCUUCUAAAGCACCACAUUUUGCUCAAAUUCAGACUAAGAUUGCAGUAUUCGUCCAAAAGUUCAGGUAAUCACAGAAUGUACUUCUUACCCGAUUUUUUAUAAAAAAAUGAAAGAUGGAUAUGAGAGAAACUCUAAAUAUAAUUGAGAAAAGCUCCAUCUUAUUAAAAUAGAUUUCACAGGAAAUCAUAUUAUUUUGCAAAGUAGCAAGUUUGUACGAUUAUUAAAAAAAAUCAAUUUUGAAUCCUCACACUCAAAUCCAAAUAUCACUGGGACAAAAGCAGAUCGUACGAAUUCAUACGAAUCAGCCACUUUGUAAAAUAUAUACAAAUUGCCAUGCGUUGAGAUAGACUAUGUCACGUGAUGUGUUAUUUUGUUUUAGUAUGUUGUUUUAUUUAUUUAUUAUUAUAUAUUUUUAAAUAGAAUGCAUUAAAUUAUAACACACUUUACUUUACUUUACUUUUAAAGUAUAUUGCUAUUUUACUGCAUAGUGUUACAGUGUCCUAAAGUAUGCAUACACACACACACACACACACACACUUAAACACAAUUUUUUGUGUGAGUCUUGACAUAUACAUGAACAUGAAAAAGAAUCGAAAAUAACUUGUAAAUGUUCUACCAUAAGCUGCCUGCUAUGCCUGCUUGUUAAGAAUGCACCACACCGUCCUGCUCUUAUUCCUCUAGUAUUCAUCUACAAUCUGACUCUCUAAUGAUUUCUUACCGUCCAUUCAUCAGAAAGAUUCACGCUUUGUUUUCCCUUUAAAAAACGGAGCCAUCACCCGAGACCUCCAUACAACACCACAAAGAAUCACUGUAUAAGAUAUGGUACAUCUGACCACAAUAAAUAUCAGGCAAAUGCACGGCUGUAAAAUAAUUUACAUACAUCUACAGGAAACAGCCAAUCAGAGGAGAAAUAUGGGGGUCUCCGUCUGCUGUAAAUGUAUUCGGUGGCCUGAGGAUGAACUCGGAGGCCAUGUGAUGUAUGAUUUACACACAACAGACCACUGACUCUUUACAAUGAUAUAUCUCCGUCUCUGACGUCUAAUCUUUCUCUUUAAACGCUGAUAUAGAGAUAGAUAACAGUGUUCUAUUGAUUCUGCUGUUUUUUAACUGUCAGCUCUCUUCCUCAGGCCCUGGCUGCUUUUUUAAACACUAACGUCUUGUAUCUUUUAUAUUCGCAGGAUUGAACGGACCGUUUCAGCUGUGACCUAUUUCCCAUUCCGUGUACAGUUAUGGUAAUACCAUGGUACUUUGAGGACACUAUCAUGAAUUUAAA